AGGCGCAUACGCUUGGCGCGGUGCCUCGCAGCUGUCUGCGGGUGGGGCCGCCGCUUUCCCUUGCAGACGAAAGCUGCUGACGGGAAAACCACGCGGGAGGGGAACGUCUAGGCCCUGGCCCUUUCCCCUCAAAGGCCGCGGGAACAUAGGGCUGGGGAAUCCUGGCAGAGGCUCUGGGCAUUAUUACAGAUGGUCGUUGAGGGUCGCAAGCACCAGGCCUGGAGGCCCUCCUCGGCCUGCUACCAGCUGUGACCUUUGGAAAGUGACUUGGCUCGCGCCUCAGUUUUCCGUUUUCUGGAGGACUUGCGGCCUGAGAGUGGCCAAAAAGAAGAGAGUUACUGUCGCAGUCACUGCCUGCCUAGUGGGUAUUUAGGUGCCCAGUCAUGCCUUUGCUCUCGGAGCCAGUGCCUGGUGCAAGCACUGCGGUGGGUUCGUGCCCCAGCUUGGGGGCCACAGGGCUGACUCGGCCGCACUGCCUAUGCGAGCUUGGCCCCAGUUUCCUCGUCAGGGCACAGAACUUCCUUCAAAGGUAAUGAAAAGAGGUGAAAUCUGUGUCACCUUUAGUCCCUGGCUCAUAGUGGGCUCGUAAUCCCGGUUACAGGCUUCAGGCCGCGCACAGGGCAUGUAACUAGAGCUGAUCCUUUCAUAGGAGGGGAACGCAGACACCAUGCCAGCCGGUUGUGCAUGCCCGCCGAACAGAGGUCGAUUUCCACUCUGUCGGCUGGCCAGGGAGAAGGAAUGCAAUUAUUCAUUUAUUACGUACACUCCCAUUGAUCCCUGCCGUAGAAAAAGCUGCUCAGUCUUACUUUGCACAUCUUUCUAGUUUAGUGUUUUAGAAAAGAUAAAGGAAGCAUUUCAUUGAUUAUUUUUUCUAAAUUUACUCUUACAAUUAGUCCUUCUCUAAUGAUCAAGAAGGAAACGUGAUUAAUCUGUAUUUGUGGAGGUUAUUAGUGUAUUGGAAUAACAUGGGAUAAAACAGUAAUAGGAGAGCUGGCAAAACCAGAUACUCUUCAACUGUUAACUGUGUUGAAAGCUUGAAAAGUAUUCAUGUUCUGUGCUGUGUUACACUCUUUUUUUGGUCUCAAAAAUACCCCUACCUCCAUUGUCUCUAGGUGGUCGUUAAAAGCUGUUAUUUUUUGUAGGCUUUUAUUUUGAUCUUAAUUUCACCUUUUCCUACCAGUAACCACUGUCAGAUCCUGUUGCUACAGGAGUUCAGAGAAAAUCCGUUUGUAAUAUUAUUUAGAGGAUAACCACGCCCUGACUUCUACAGAGUGUUGAGUAAAUCAAACUACUGUUCUUUCUGGAAAAAACCUGCAGCUGAAACUGGGAUUAGGGAUAAAGAAACCCAGCUGGAGUUUGCCCCUAAGUGCCAGUGAUAGUUUCUGUUUAUGGUCUGUUUAUCACACAACAUCUUUUGCCAGGAUGUGACUAGCUUUUUGUGAGCCUUUCAUGACCGCACGCAGUAUGUGAUGCCGUACAUCUAAAAUAUGUACAAAUAGCCGAUCCUGACCCCCUUGAUUAACUGUCAGAUGUUUGCUAAAGUCAGUGAUUUGCCCACACAUAGCUCCUUGUUGGAAAAGCAGCCAUUUGAUUGAUGUUAUGUAUGAAUUAUAAUUUACAAAUAAAUUAUUGAAAGCAUAUGAGGUCCAGUCAGAUGAGAUCCACAGGGGGAAAAAUACACAUAUGAGGGAAUCCAGGGUUUGACUUUUCCAUUUAACCAGUUUUUCAUUUUAAUAUUUUAAACAGUUGCAGAGUUUAGCUACUAAUGGUCCAGAUUUUUGAGAUAGGCAUAAACGAGUUAGUUGUCCUUGGUCUUACUAUUUCAGUUCAACAUACAUUAUUUAAUGUAGUAUAAAUAACUACAGCAAUCAUAAUAAACAUUUAUUGAGAUUGUACCAUUUAUAUUUACUAUUUCAAUAUACCAUGUAUAUUCAUGAUUUUAUUUUACAGUUGACCCUUGAACAACAUGGGUUUGAACUACGCGGGUCCACUUAUAGGUGGAUUAUUUUCAAUAAUUUGAAAAAAAAAUUCAAAAAAUUAUUUCUAAUAAUUGAAAUAAUUUUUUCAAUGUGUUAGAAAAAUUUUUGGACAUCUGUGACAAUUUGAAAAAACAGAUGACCCAAGUAGCCUAGAAAUACUGAAAAAUUUAAGAAAAACUUAGGUAUAUCAUGAAUGCAGAACAUAUAUGUAGAUACUAGGCUGUUUUAUCAUUUACUGUAAAAUAUACACAAGUCUAUUAUAAAAAUGUAAAAUUUAUUAAAACAUACAUACAAACAUAGACUACAUGGCACCGUUUGUAGUUGAGAGAAAUAUAAACAACAAAGAUGCAGUAUUAAAUCGUAACUGCAUAAAACUAACUGUAGUACAUACUGUAUUGUAGUAAUUUUGUAGCCACCUCCUGCUGCUAUUGCCAUGAGCUCAAGUGUUGUGCAUAGCCACUUAAAAUGUCAUGUGAUGCUAAUCAUCUCUGCAGGAGCAGUCAAUCUCUCCAGAAAAUUGUGUAUCACAGUAAAAAGUGAUCUUUUGAGGUUCUCAUGUAUUUUUCAUUGUGUUUAGUGCAAUACUUCCAUUGUGUUCAGUGCAAUACCUUGCGUCACACCAUGGGACCCAUGCAAUGCUGGAAGUGCUCCCAAGAAGCAGAGAAAAGUCAUGACAUUAGAAGAAAAAGUUGAAUUGCUUGAUAUGUAUGGAGGUCUGCAGCUGCAGCUGCCCGCCAUUUCAGACACAAUUCAUCUUGUAAACUUGUGGGGUUGAUACAUACCGAUAAAUGUAUUUUCCUUAUGAUUUUUCUUAAUCACAUUUUUUCUCUCACUUUAUUGUAAGAAUACUGUGUGUAAUACAUAUAACAUACAAAAUAUGUUAAUCACCUGUUCAUGUUAUUGGUAAGGCUUCCAAUCAACAGUAGGCUAUUAGUAGUUAAGUUUUGGCAGAGUCAAACGUUCAACUUGGAUUUUCGACUGCACAGUGGGCUGGCACCCCUAACCCCUGCAUCGUUCAAAGGCCAACUGUACUAUUUUGGAUAAUGGGGAAUAAAACAAUGUUUAUUAUGUGCUCUUCCGCCUCUGGAAAUUUAUAGCAUUGUUUUUACUUUUUUUUUUUUUUUUAAGAAAAAAGAAUCUUCCUGAAAAGUUAUGCCUUUUAAUUGUGGUAUACAUCCUGGCUAUUUAUAAGAUUUCAUUGAGAAAUUUUUGUUUCCUCUAAUAUUUUUGUUGUUUUUUGUUUGUUUCAGGUGAAAUAACUAAACCUGACAAUGUUAGUGUGGACUUAAAACAGAUCGUUUGUAUAAUAAAGGGAUCAAUAAUUUUAUUUUAGUGCACAGCAACUAUUUGAGAAUCUUUAAGUAAAAUUGAUAUUGGAUGAUGAGGAUUUUAAAACAAGGGUUUUAGACUUAAGAAAAAGAAAGGUAAUUGGUAUUUAUCCUGUCCUUUAUUAAAAUAAAUUUGAAAAUGUAGGAAAUUAGUAGUAGUGGAAAACGCUGAUGGAUAAAAGUAAGCCAUUAUACUUUGGCCACCGUGGAUUAGUCAAGGAUACAUAUAUGUAUAUGUUGAGUAUCAUUGUUUGAUUUACAAAAUGCUUUUGCUUCAUCUCCUAUAAUCUGUUUCUCCUAUAUCACUUUGGUACAGGUAUUGCUUAAUCCCUUUAAGAAAUGAAGAAAAACCUUCAGAGAGGCUGAAAGGAAUUGCCCAAGGCAUCUGAGUCCAAGUCCUAUAAUGCCUUACACAAUAAUAAGAAUGUCAACAUGUUGGGCGAUGAAUAUUUUUGACUGAGACCAUAGUCAAUGUGGUGCUCUGAGUCAAUACACCCAAAUUACACUAUGCCAUUGACUGCUUUGUUCUGGUUUGUGCCUGUUUCUAAGUAAUAAGGAUUACUGAAUUUAACAAUAGUGGGAACAGAGUGAUGAAUGAAAUGAACAAGUAAAGCAGCCCCAGCUCUCAUGGAGGUUGCAAUCUAGAAAGAGAUACAGAGAGAAAAAUAAUUUCAGUGUGUUAAGUGCUAAAAGAUAAAGAGCACAUCAUCUAGAUUAGGGUAUUAUGUAAAGCUUCCCAUGAGAAAGGAUACCUUAACUAAAACCUGGAGGAUAAGUAAAAGUUAGUUAAGUGAAUGCAGGAGGAGGUGGAUGUUCUACAUAAAGGAAUAGUAAGUGAAAAGACAUGAUGCAAAAGACAGCAUCUGUUGUUCCAGGACUUGGGAAGUACAGUGUUAAUUAUUAUAGAUUUACGUGUGUGUGUUGGGGCAGUGUCUUCAGUGAAGGAGGGAGUGAUGAGAGAGGAUAGAUAAGAAGAGGGAGCCAAAGGACUUUGUGAGUAGAAGUUUUGGGGAGUAGGGUACAAGAAUGCUGGGAGCUUCAAAACUGCAAGUAGGAGGAACAACCAUUAAAAGACUUUUGCAGAAAUCCAGGUAAGAAAUGAUGGUUGCCGAAAAGGCUAGUAACAUUGCACAUGAGAUGGGAAAUGAAAAGGUAAGAUAUUCGAAAAAAUAUAUAGGAGUAGAAUUAAUGGGGGUUUGAUGAUUAGUUGGAUGGAGGGAGAGAAGAGAAGGUGGUUCCUGAAUUUCUGACUUGGCAAUUGGCAGGAUGAUACUACUAUUCACUGAGAGGAGAGACAUAAAACAGGGUACAAAUUUGAAAGGAAGAAUGUACAGGGGAUGGUAACAAAUUGAGUUUUAGACAUGUUGAGUAAGAGGUACCUGUGAAACAUCAAAGAUAUUAAGUAGGCUUUUGGCUUAGUGGGUUUGACAGUGACUUGGGAGAUUUUAGUUGUAGACAGAUAUUGGGAGUCAUUGGGUGUAUAAUACUUGAUUCUGUCUCAUUAGGAAUGGGAGAAUAGAAAUAUCAAGUAUACUUUUAAGUUAUUUUUGAAUAAAGGUAUUAUGUUUAAUUUGCAUGACAAAUCUGUAAGAAAUCUCUAGGACAGGGAAACAUUAUUGCACAUAGAAGUGGCUAGUGGCUUGAAGGGUUGCCUAAUAUGUAAAGACAUCCAAAUUUUUAAAAGGUGGAGUAGGUAGAGGGAAAUUUUAACUUAUUUUUUUAAAUAUGGCAAGAAUUGUCAGAUUGGGUUAAAAAAUCAAGACCCAACUCUAUAUGCUAUCUGCAAGAAACCCACCUCAAAUAUAAAGACAUAGAUAUAUUAAAAGUAAAAGGACGGAGAAAGAUAUGUCAUGCAAAGCACUAAUCAAAAGAAAGAUGAAGUGGCUAUAUUAGACAAAGUAGACUUUAGAAUAAAGAAUGUUACUAGGAAAAAAGAAGGAUAUUACGUAAUGAAUAAGGGAGAAAUUCAUGAAGAAUGCACAACAAGCAUAGAUAUGAAUGGACCUAACACAAAAAAUUGAAAGAACCAAAGGUGAAGUAGACAAACAAUUUUAGUUGGAGAUGUCAGUGCUCCUGCUUCAGUAAUCCAUAGAACUAGUAAUCAGAAAAUCAGUAGGGAUAUAGAAAACCUGAACAGCCCUAUCAACCAAUUUGUUUCAAUUAAGUUUUAGAGAACAUGCCAACAACAGCAGAAUACCAUCCUUUCAAAUGUAUGUGGGAAAUUCACCAAGUUAGAUGAUAUUCUGAGACAUAAAACCUUAACAAAUGUAAAGAAUUGAAAUAAUAUAAAAUAUGUUCUCUAAUCACAACAGAAUUAAACUAGAAAUUGAUAAUAUCUGCAUAAUUCUCAAGUAUUUGGAAAUUAGACAACAUACUUUUAAAUAACUUGUAAGUCAAAGAGGAAGGCAUAAGGAAAUUAAAAACUAUUUUGAAUGGACUGGCGAUAAAAGUAUAACACAUCAAAAUGUAUGAAACGAAGCUAAAGCAGUGCUUAAAAGGUAAUAUAUAGCGUUACAUGCUUAUAUUAUAAAACAAAAAAAGGCCUCCAAUCAAUGAUGUAAGUCUCCACCUUAAAAAGUUUAAAAAUAGAAAAGCAAAUUAAAUCCCAAACAAGCAGAAACUAGAAAAUAAUAAAGAGCAGAAAUGAAAUUUUAAAAAAGAUUCUAAAACCAAAAGCUGGUAUUUGAAAGACAAAAUUAAUAAACCUCUAGCUAGACUUAAAAGAAGGAAAAGUGGAGAAGACAUAAGUUUUAAUUCAAGAAUGAAAAAGGUGCUAUCACUAUAGAUCCUACAGACAUUAAAAUGAUAAGAGAAUAUCAUAAACAAUUUUAUGUCAAUAAAUUUGAUAAAUCAAAUGGACACAUUUCUUGACAGACACUCAAAGCUUACCUAAGAGGUACUAGGCAAUGUAAAAACUUUCCCACAGGAAAAAUCUGAUGGCUUCAUUUGCAAAUCCUACAACAUUUAAGAAAGAAGUAAUACCAUUUUUAUACAGACUUUUUCAGACAUAGAAAAAAGGAGGAAAGCUGGGCAUGGUGGCUCAAGCCUGUAAUUCCAGCCUUUUGAGAGCCCAAGGCAGGAGGAUCACUUGAGCUCUGGAGUUUGAGACCAGCCUGGGCAAUGUAGAGACUUUAGUAGAGACUUCAUCUCUACUAAAAAUAAAAGAAAAAAUAGCCAGGUGUGGUGGUGCAUGCUUGUAGUCCCAGCUACUCAGCAGGCUGAGGCAGGAAGAUCACUUGAGCCCAGGAGAUAGAGGCUGCAGCAAGCUAUGAUUGUACACUGCACUCUGGCCUGGGUGGCAGAGUGAGACCCUAUCCUGGAAAAACAAAAGGAAAAGGAGAGAAAACUUUUCAAUUUUAUGUGGCCUGCAUUACCUGAUAUCAAAACCAGGCAAAGAAUUUAUAAGAAAACUACAAGCCAGUAUCCCUCAUGAAUAUAGACAUAAAAAUGUUAAACAAAAUAUUAGCAAAUAAAAUCUAGUAUAUAAAAAGAGUAGAAAAUACACCAUGACCAAAUGAGCCUUACUGCAAGAAUGCAAAGUUGGUUCAAUAUACAUAAGUCAAUCAAUGCAAUUUACCAUAUCAACGGACUAAAGAAGAAAAAAGGCAUAUGAUUAUCUCAAUAGAUACAGAAAAAGCAUUUUACAAAAAUCUAUCAUUCGUUCCUGAUAAAACUUUCAGAAAACAAGGAAUAGAAGGAAAUUUCCUCCACCUGGUAAAGGGGAUUUAUGAAAACACCUAACAUCAUACUUCAUAAAGAAAGAUGAAAUGCUUUCCCCCUAAGAUCAGAACAAAGCAGGAAUGUUGGCAUUCCCCACUCCUAUUCAAUAUUGUCCAGGAGGUCCUAGCUAGUGUAAUAAGGCAAGAAAAAGAAAUAGGCACACAGAUUGGAAAGGAAGAAAUGAAAAUGCCUUCAUUUGUAGAUACCAUGAUUGUCUAUGAAGAAAAUCCAAAUAACUUACAAAAAGCUACUGGAUCUAGCUGGGUGUGGUGGCUCACGCCUGUAAUCCCAGCACUUUGGGAGUCCAAGGCGGGCAGAUCACGAGGUCAGCAGAUCAAGACCAUCCUGGCUAACAUGGUGAAACCCUGUCUCUAAUAAAAAUACAAAAAAUUAGCUGGGCUUGGUGGUGGGUGCCUGUAGUCCCAGCUACUCCGGAGGCUGAGGCAGGAGAAUGGUGUGAACCCGGGAGGCGGAGCUUGUAGUGAGCCGAGAUUGCGCCACUGCACUCCAGCCUGGGGGACAGAGCGAGACCUUUUUUUUUUUUUUUUGAGACAGUCUACUGGAUCUAGUAGGUGAGUUUAGCAAACCCACAGGAUACAAGGUCAAUAUAUGAAAAUGAACCAUACUUUUUUAUACUAACAGCAAACGUUUUGAACGUGAAAACUUUUUAGAGUAUAUUUACAACAGCAUCCAAUUUACAAAUACCUAGGAAUAAAUCUAACAGAACAUGUAUAAGAUUUGCAUGCCAAAAACUGACAUACAUUGAUGAGAGAAAUCAAGACCUAAACUAGUGGUAAAAUGUACUGAAUUCAUGGAUUAGGAUUUUCAGUACUGUCAAAAUGUCAGUCUUCCCAAAUCGACAGAUAUAAUGCAAUUGCAGUCACAAUCUCAGCAGUCGUCUUUGUGGAAAUUGACAGGCUAUUUCUAAAAUUUAUAUAGAGAAGUAAAGAACCUAGAAUAGCCAAAACAAUUUUGGAAAAGAAAAUGUUGGAUCAUCCACACUACCUGAUUUCAAGACUUGCUAUAAAGUUACAAAAAUCAAGACAAAAUGAUUUUUAAAAUUUUAUGGUUAAAAAUGAGCUCUAGCCUCUUAAUCAAUUUUUAAGUGUAUAGUAUUGUUAACUAUGAGCACAAAGUUGUACAGCAGAUCUCUACAAUUUUUUCAUCUUGUGUGACUGAAACUAUACACCCACUGAGUAGCAACUCCCCUUUCUCCCCUACCUGCAGCUCUUGGCAACCACUAUUCUACUUUCUGCUUCCAUGAGUUUGACUAUUUUAUGUAAUUCAUGUAAGAAGAAUCGUACAAUAUUUGUCCUUCUGUGACUAGCUUAUUUCACUUAGCAUAAUGUCCUCAAGGUUCAUCCAUGUUGUAGCAUGUGACAGGAUUUUCUUCCUUUUUAAGGCUGAGUAAUAUUCCAUUAUAUACACACAUCACCUUUUCUUUAUUCAUCCACCAGUGGACAUUAAGGUUGUUUCUACCUCCUGGCUGUUGGGAACAAUGCUGCAGUUAACAUGGGAAUGCAGAUAUCUUAUUUUAAUUCUUUUAGAUAAAUACCCAGAAAUGAGAUUGCUAGAUCAUAUAGUAGCUCUACUUUUAAUUUUUUAGGAAAAUUAUGCUAUGCUCCAUAGCAGUUGUAUGAUUUUACAUUUCCGCCAACAGGGCACAAGCGCUUUCAUUUCUCUACAUCCCCACGAACACUUGUUAUAUCCUGGGUUUUGUUGUUGUUGUUGUUGCUUUCAAAUAAUAGCCAUCCUAACAGGUGUGAGGUGAUAUCUCGUGGUUUUGAUUUGUAUUUCCAUGAUGAUUAGCAAUGUUGAGCAUCUUUUCAUAUACCUGUUGGCCACUUGUAUGAAUUCUUUGGAAAAAUGUCUAUUCAAGCCUUUUGCCCGUUAAAAUUUUUUUUUAAGUUUUUAUUUUUUGAGACAGGGUCUUGUUCUGUCACCCAGUCUGUUGUGCAGUGGUACAGUCACAGCUCACUGCAGCCUUGACCUCCUGGGCUCAAGUGAUCCUCCCAUGUCAGCCUCCCAAGUAGCUGGGACUACAGGUGCGUGCUCCUGCACCUGACUAAUUUUUGUAUUUUUUUUGUAGAGACUGAGUUUUGCUAUGUUGCCCAGGCUAGUCUGGAACUCCUGGACUCAAGUAAUCCUCCCGCUUUGGCCUCCCAGAAUGCUGGGAUUGUCGGCAUGAACCACUGCACCUGCUUUUGCUCAUUUUAAAAUUAUGUUAUUUUUGUUUGGUUGGUUCUUUUGCUGUUGAAUUAUAGGAGCUCCUUAUAUAUUUUGAAUAUUAACCUCUUAUCAGAUUUUUUGGUUUACAAAUAUUUUCUCCCAUUCUGUAGGUUGCCUUUUCACUGUGUUGAUUAUUUUCCUUGGUGUACAGAGGCUUUUUAGUUUGAUGCAGUACCACUUGUCUACUUUUGCAUUCAUUGCCUGUGUUUUUUGGUGUCAUGUUCAAUAAGUCAUUGCCGUGACCGAUGCCAUGAAGGUUUCCUGUAUUCUAGAAGUUUUAUAGUUUCAGGUAUUACAUUUAGGUCUUUAAUCCAUUUUGAGUUGGUUUUUUCUUUUCUUUUUUUCUUUUUUCUUUUUUUUGAGACAGGGUCUCACUCUGUCAUCCAGGCUAGAAUACAGUGGUGCAGUCAUAGCCCACGGCAACCUCAAACUCCCUUGCUCAUAUUUAUUUUUUUUUUGUAGAGAUGGAGUCUUGCUAUAUUGCCCAAGCUGGUGAGUUGAUUUUUGUAUGUAGUACAAGAUAAGCGUCCAGUUUUAUUCUUCUGCAUGUGACUAUCCACUUUUCCCAAUACCAUUUGUUAAAGAGACUAUCCUUUCCCCAUUGUUUAUUCUUGUCACUCUUUUUAAAUAUCAGUUGACUAUAUGUUCAGUUGAUGAAGGGAUAGACAUAUAGGUCCAUGGAACAGCACAGACUCCAGAAGUAGACCCACACAAACAUGGUCAAUUGAUAUUUUUGACUAAGGUGUCAAUUAACUCAUUGGAGACAGGAUAGUCUUCACACAGAAUGGUGCUGGAGGAAUUAGGUGUCCAUAUUUUAAAAAAAAAUAAUCUUGACACAUACCUUGUACCUCUAUAAAAAUUAAGUAAAAAUGUAUCAUAGACCAAAAUGUAAAACCUAAAACUAUAACACUGCUAGAACUUCCUGGCCCGUUGUGCUGGCCACAUGUGGCUAUUUAAAUUUAAACUAAUUAAAACAAAAUAAAAUUAAAAAAUUCAGCUCCUCAGUUGUUGCAGCAACAUAUCAAGUUCUCAGAAGUCACAUCUGGCUAGCUAUACCCAGUGUAUUGGUGAGCACAGAUUAUAGAACAUUUCUGCCAUAACAGAAAGUUAUAUUGUACAAUGCUGUUCUAGAAGAAAACAGGAGAAAAUCUUUGGAAUCUUAGGCAAAGAUUUCUUAGGAGGCAAUAUGAACCACAGGAGCAAAAUAAUUGAUAAAUUGGGUUUCAUCAAAAUUAAAUCCUUCGGUCUUCAAAAAGCUCUGCUGGCCAGGUGUGGUGGCUCAUACCUGUAAUCCCAGCACUUUGGGAGGCCAAGUUGGGAGGAUUGUUUGAGCCCAAGAGUUUGAGAUCAGUCUGGGCAACACAGGGAGACUCAUCUAAAAACAAAACAAAAAACAAAAACAAACGAACAAACAAAAACAACCUUUGCUAAGAAAAUGACAAGCCACAGACGAGGAAAAAAAAUUGCAAAACAUAUAUUUAGUACAGAACUGGCAACCAGAAUAUAAAAAGCAUAAGUUUCAAAAUUUAAAAUUUAAUAACAUAAUCAUAGUCUGAGAAGUCCUAAACAUUUUAAUAACAAAAGAAAGUAAAAAGUGGGCAAAAAAAUUUGUAUAGACACUUCAUCAAAGAAAUAUGGAUGGCAUAUUAUUUAAUUUUUCUAAUCUUUUUUCUUUUUUUGGCUCUAUUACGUUAGUAACUUACAACUUUUCUAACCUUAUACAGGUAUGCAUCCAUUUUUUAAAAAUCAGUAAAGGUUAUCUGGUUGAGAAGUUUAUGAUCUACUUUUAUUUUCUUUGUUCCUCACUGGAUCUUUUAAAGUGCAAAUCCUAGCAAAUGAAACCUGAGGAAGAAAGUCUCUAAUCGGGGGUGCGUGUGUGUGUGUGUGUGUGUGUGUGUCUAAAAAAGCAAACAUCUUUUUAUAGUUGUUUCUGGUUGUCCAAGAAUAGCAAUAGUGAAUGUAAAAGGAAGCAACAGUCUCUUGGGCAAUCAUUUAUAGCUUUAUCAGUGUAUACGAUCAUGUUAAUGAACUGAUUUGUUCAGCCUGUUUGGACCAUGAGAAAAUGUGACCUUCCUAAUUGUAUUCAAAUCCGUCAGAGUUGAAAAGAAAUAUGUGAUUUGUUUUUCUCGUCUUUAACCUGUCUAGAUUUUGCCUAAGCAAAUGUGGUAGGCAGAAUAGCGGCCCCCUUAAAGAUGUUCAUGUCCUAAUCCCCAAACCCUGUGAAUAUGUUGCCUUACAUGGCAAAAGGGAGAUUGCAGAUGUGAUUACUGAUUUUGAGAUGGGGAGAUUUCCUGGAUUAUGCAGGUUGGACCAAUGGAAUCACAAGUGUCCUAAUAAAUGAAGGAGGAAGGCAGGAGAGUCAGAGUCAGAAUGAUGCAAUGUGUAAACGGCUCAACUGGCCAUUCCUCUCUUUGAAGAUGGGGUCAGGCCACAAGCCAAGGAACGGAGGCAGCCUCUUGAACCUGAAAAAGGCAAGAAAAUGGAUUCUCCCCUAGUGCCUUCAGAAGGAACGUGGACAAGCAGAACUGUUCAAAAGAAGAGGCUGUUCUAAGAAAGACUACCGAGUAAUCAAUCACCUCCUCAGAGAAAGUCUGCUCAGGAAACUCUCCUCCCACCAGCCCCUGCACUUGGUUCCUUGCGUUGCCUCUGGCUGGAAGCUGUUGUCCCCAACUUCAGAAAGUGUCUGCAGAUUUCACAGGCUCUCUCUUGGGUCAAGGGACCAGCUCUGUGAACACGGCAAGUAACAACAGAGAGAAAACGUGAGGAGAAAAGAGAGACCGGGAUUUUGAAAUCCUGUUUCCUGAAUGCCAUCUCACCAGGCACACGAAAGAAUAAAAUUAAGGAAUCAAGAGCCAA